UCUUAGUAACAUUACUGUGCUGGAAAUGCUUACGCUCUGCUUCUUGUUAUUCUAUUUUAUGGUGAUUAUUUCUGAGUUCCAGCCCUUUCACUUUACAUCAUGGAACCAUGAACAUCGAGUGAGGCAUACAGAACAGGUGCUGAAUAGCUCUACAGCAGAGGGAACUGAAUAG
rnacentral:lncRNA from 1 species